GGCAAGCCUCCGUGUGAGUGAGUGUGGACAUGUUGCUGUGCAGCGUGGAGCAGUGUUGGCAUUUUUAAUCAGCGUGGCAUACCUGAGGGCUAGACUGUGGAGCUUGUGGGUGCAGCACGUUCCCGUGGCCAUUACCAGCUGAGCCUGGGCUGCGGGCCUCCUCUGUCGCUGUCCGACCAGUCAGCCUCACUCUCCGCGUGUGGCACUCCUUGGCCGCCACCAACGCUGCUGUCUUGGCUCUCUUUUUUUGGAGUGGUGGUGUCUUCUCUCCGGUGCUGCUGCUGUUAGGGCAGGCUGGGGAUUGGCUGGGGCCGCAUGUGUGCCAGACACCGCCGCUGUGGAGAUUCUGGCUCUCUUUCUUAAUGUUGCAGACAUCUUUAUUUGCUAUGUUUGUCGUAUUUUUUUGUUAGCUUUUCAUUUGAAUCCCUGUUUUGUGGAGUUUAUAUUUGGAUUUGUUUUUUCUACUCUGCUUCUUAUUUUUGGAUUAUUUGCUCAAUUGUGGGUUUUGGUUUGAGAUUAGUUUUCUUAUGUUGUGAAUAAUUUGUGUUAACUCUGGUUUUGAUUAACUGUUUUUGUUGUUUGUUUUUUUUUCCUUUUUGGGGGUUGCUGUGUUUGUUAUUAGUGGUGUGAGGGCUGCCCAUUACAUGUUUUAAUUGUGUGGGGUUUUUUU